rnacentral:rRNA from 1 species
UUGAACGCUGGCGGCAGGCCUAACACAUGCAAGUCGAGCGGAUGAAGGGAGCUUGCUCCUGGAUUCAGCGGCGGACGGGUGAGUAAUGCCUAGGAAUCUGCCUGGUAGUGGGGGAUAACGUCCGGAAACGGGCGCUAAUACCGCAUACGUCCUGAGGGAGAAAGUGGGGGAUCUUCGGACCUCACGCUAUCAGAUGAGCCUAGGUCGGAUUAGCUAGUUGGUGGGGUAAAGGCCUACCAAGGCGACGAUCCGUAACUGGUCUGAGAGGAUGAUCAGUCACACUGGAACUGAGACACGGUCCAGACUCCUACGGGAGGCAGCAGUGGGGAAUAUUGGACAAUGGGCGAAAGCCUGAUCCAGCCAUGCCGCGUGUGUGAAGAAGGUCUUCGGAUUGUAAAGCACUUUAAGUUGGGACGAAGGGCAGUAAGUUAAUACCUUGCUGUUUUGACGUUACCAACAGAAUAAGCACCGGCUAACUUCGUG